rnacentral:lncRNA from 1 species
UGAAGAAGUAAGUGGAAUCAAUGCGGGCGUAGAUCUGGCGUUCAUGAGUGGCGUUUUGGACAGGGGGCCCGGUGUGGGAACCCAGAGCCAGUUCGCUGAACUGCCGCCGUCCCAGCCCCACGAGCGUCUGGGAAGGUGCAAAAGACUCCAGCCCCGCAAAGAUGCUGAAACAGAUCCUGUCGGAGAUGUACAUAGAUCCUGAUCUGCUGGCAGAGCUAAACGAGGAACAGAAACAGAUCCUGUUCUUCAAGAUGAGGGAGGAGCAGGUCCGCCGCUGGAAAGAAAGAGAAGCAGCGAUGGAAAAACAGGAGUCCCUGCCAGUGAAACCCAGGCCGAAGACAGACAACAGCAAAUCCGUUCACUGGAAGCUGGGAGCCGACAAUGAGGUCUGGGUCUGGGUGAUGGGUGAACAUCACCUGGACAAACCCUACGACGUGAUCUGUGAUGAGAUCCUCGCGGAGAGGGCGAGGCUGAAGGCUGAGCAGGAGACGCCGGAGCUCAGAAAAGCUCAGCCCAGAGAGCUCAGCAGCAGCUCGAAAUCAAAGCUGCCGUCCUCCGAGGGGCGGGCGCCCGGUGCCGGGGAGAUCGGGAAUGUGGGCGAGAAGGCGGCAGAGGUGGGGACGCCGGGCCGAGGCUGCAGGCCGGCUGCACCACUCGGAGAGCAGAAAGCACCCCUGUCCUCCAGCUCCUCAAGAAAUAUUCACCAAAUGUUGGCAGAUUCUGUCAGUCGUAUAAAGGAAUUCGGAUUUCACCAGAAGAAAGUGUCAGUGAAGCAAACACAAGAUGAAGAAAUAAAACAGACAGAUGAAGAGAGAACCAAGGAGAUUUAUACAAACUGGAAAGAAGAUUCGGAGUGGCAGGCUUCUUUGCGAAAAUCCAAAGCCGCUGAUGAGAAGCGGCGGUCCCUGGCCAAGCAGGCGCGGGAGGACUACAAGCGGCUGUCGCAGCGGGGCAGGAGCGGCAAGGGGCCGCAGGGCCCCCCGGGCGGCCCCCCGAAACCCAAGAGGCCCCCGCUCCCCCCCAAGCCUCAUUUCCUGAGCCCAGCAGGACAGCCACACACACCUCUCAGGAAUCAGAAAGUGACGAGGCCGGCGUCCAGCCCAGCCCAGGAGGACAUCAGGCGCUGGUUCCGGGAGGAGCAGCUUCCUCUGCGGGCGGGCUACCUGGCGGACUCGGACAGCAUCGCUCCCUGGUUCCACGUUAAGGCUGUGAGAUGGGCUUGUUGGAGGCUAAGCAGAGGUCAGCUCGUAAAGCAUGUCUUCAUUCGAUGCUUGAAACUGGACUCAUUCAUUCAAACCGUCUAUUUACCCUGCACCCACCUCACUGACCUCUCAGCUUCUUGGAUUUCAAAAACAGGCGGUGACUUUCUGUCUGCUGCUUCUAUGAGCUCUGUGGCUGGGAUGGAUUAUCACUGGCUCUGUGGACAACAAAAGCUUUAA